CCAGGUACCAGAGAAAAACAAAAAAAAACAAAAAAAAACAAACAAACAAAAAAAAAGGUUAGUGCACAUAUACAAGCCCACAAUUUCCAGGAUGUGGCAAAGGUACUCCUAACUCCUGAAGCCCUUAGGACCAAUCCAUACAGGCUCCUGAACUUCAAGCAGGGACCUGCAAUUAACUGGAAGCUCUGGGAACCCCUGGUGAAGGACCCCUGGUGAAGUACAGCAAGCCAGGAGUGUCCUGCCAGUGACCCUAACCUGGCUUCCCUCAGGAGAGCCUCAAGAACCCUGAGGUCCCCAGACUGCCUGCAGCAUGUGUUAGGAAGAAUUUGGACUGAAAAUCUCUGCCUUGGUUAGAAACAAAGACAAGAAAUUACCCCUCCCCAAGUAUUAACUGAAACCCCGGUUUUAACCAGAAUACCCUGCCCACAAUCUCCAAGAUGGAGGCAUCAGUAUCAAAGGCCUAACUUCAAGACAGCAAGGUGCGUCAGGGGCCCGGGGCGUGGCUGUUCCCCCUCACCUGUCAUUGAAAGCUAAGUGGAAGAGAACUGCCAGGCUCCUGGAUUGGUGCUGCUGGCCCUUUGGCCAAGCAAUUUAAGGAAAGGAAAAGCAUGUAGGUGGGAAAACAUUCUGGAAACAUUUGCUGCCUCCAGAACCCAAACAACUCUUUCCUUAAACACUUCAUCUCCGAAAGUGCUGGGGAGACCCUUGGCCAGUUUCAAAACCAACACUCACUAAGUCCUGCUGCCCGGGGUGAGGACUUCCCUGAGGAGCGUUUGCUCUGGAACCAAAUGCUCUUCCACUCCAAACAACAGCCAGCAGCACUCGGGACAACAGGGAGGGCUCCAGAUCAAACAAACAUCCUCUUUUCCCCUACCAUGCAGACUUUCUCAAUAAAUUAUUCGCCCACUUCGGAUCAAAGCCUGUUUUUGCAGCCUGUGACCUAAAAAGCAAAUAUCAUCGCUUAAACAUGAAAGCCCUCCUUCCUGCCUGGGUCAGCUUCAUUACUCAUUCGUUCCCCCCUUACAGUUAUUCUGUUGUUAUUUUCCUCCUGUGCUCGGUAGAUGGUUGUACGAGUCCCAACCCGCCUGAGGACGAUGGGACAAGAGGGAUGGUGCGUUCAUUCAGGGCCCUAAGGUGAGAAAGGAAGUCAGGGGCGGGGAGAAAUCAGCAUCCUGGGAACCCGGGAAGCCAGGCCAGCUCCGAUUGGCAACUUUCUGUCUGGUCCUUUUGCCAAAUGUCCUACUAGGAAUUCUACCAGUGAGAAGUCAGUGCCACCCUGGAAGGACGGGCCUGGAGGUCCUACCACCUCCCUGCUCCAGGUACAAAUCUAAACUUAAGGGGUGCAGUCCAACAGCUCAUCCGGGCUUAGAGCUGAGGCUCCUGUUACUGACAGCACAGUCCCUCCUGAGCCCUUUGGGACGGCUCUGGAUACGAACACGACCCUCCUCGAUGACACCCUCCCCCCCACUAACGCCGCCCCUGCAUCAAAGUUUAUGCCUGGGAAUCUCGCAGAAGAUGAACCGGCCAGUGCUAGGCCCAGAGGCGAGGUCGGGAAAACUGCAAAGACCAGGGAUGCCGGGUGCAAUGUGCCCUUGGCAAAAAGAAACCCGGCGCCCCUCCCCCUCCCCUCCCAGCCCCCCGCAAGAGGCCUGCGGCCAAGCUGGUAAAAAGUGCCCCGGCCGGCUGCGGCGGCUAAGGGGAUUAGAGGAAACCUCGCGAGCGCCUCCAGCCUGCCCCCGGAGGCGGUCUGCGGGAGCGCAGGCUGGAGGCGCGCCGGCGUGAUUCCGACCGCGGGAGCCGGGAGGAGGAGCCGGAGGUAGCUGCGGGGGGCUCCGGCCCUGGAGAAGGAAGGGCAAGAGGCGGCUCGGGCCAGGGGCAGCGCCGGGAGACAUCCUCAUCCUCUGGCGGAACAGCUACGAGUCGCCAAGUCCCCUCUCAUUCCUUGGCCGGAGGAGGGGAUGUUUCAGGACCCAGGGAUGGGCGGGAAGGGCCCGUGGGGAGCCAGAAGUCUGCACCCCGGCGGGGAGGAGGCGGGCGGGAGCCGCUCCGCAGGCGCAGGCGAGUGGGUGGGAAAGAGAGAGGGAGGGAGGAAGGAGGUGAGGCCGGGAAGAUGCCUCUGCCGGGGGCGGGGCGCGGCCGGGGAUCCGGCGGAGGGACUGCAGCAGCGCUUGGUGGGGGCGGGGGCUGCAAUGUCACUCGUCGGAGGGUCAGGUGAGUGAGUCCAGGCGGGGUUUGCCACUUGCCGGCACCUUCCCCGCACCACCCAGGGUGUAAGGGCGGAGGCGGAGGGCCGGGGACUGCAGAACCAUCCCCGGAGCGGGACGCGAACCGGCAGAGUUGGGAGAAGAGCCUCUGAGCCCAGGAGCCGAGCAUGCUGCCCCCGCGUGCAGCGCCCGCGUGCACCCAGCCCAGAGAGGGGGCGCAGAGCGGAGGCGAUGGC